GUCGUGCCCCCAAAUUAGUCGGCAUUGUGGGUGCCGAGGAGGCGGCGGCAGUGGUAGUGAGGCGUCAGGCUGAGAGGGUAAAUCAAGCGGCAAAGGCCCAGUCUCCGGUGUGGGCGAAUGCUUCUUUGGUGGUAAGCAGGUCGAAAACAUAUCUAGAAGAUCCAAUUCCUUGUCGGGCAUCAAACAGAUGUGUUCUCAACUAUCAUCGGACAGGCUUCGAUGAGGAAUGUGAGAGGUUUUUCAGUCAAAUAUACAAAUGUUGGCUUCUAUAUUCAAGUUUUUAGUGGAAAAUAUCACUCGGAUAAUAUGGUAGGCUUGGAGGGUUUUCAUGAGUCAGAUAACCGAGAUUUCUGAUGCUGACCUGAGGCUAUUUCAUGACCGUAUUACCUGUGAAAGAUAAAUUCUUCAUCAGAGAACUCUGUACCACUCAGAAGUAGAACCGAUCAACUCAGUUCAUGGACCAAAAUCUAUUUGAAGGCUGAUAAGUGUACUAUGCAUUAUACAGAUCAAGGAGAAACCCCGAUCUGAUUUGACGUAACAAGGGAUAAUCCACAUAUAAUGCUGUUUCCCAAAAUCGCAUGGUAAACGCUGUGGGGAUGGCAUCUUCUCAACCAUCAGGAAGAUGCAUCCUUCUUUAUUUUUGUGCGUUUAGCAGCAUAUGUCGGUAGUCUUCACCCUUCAUGGGGCAAGCAAUUCUUCAGCUUCCGUAAGGGUCAUCAGCUUCUGCAUCGACUGAGAUUUUAAUCUUGUAUUAUGUAAAUCCAAGAAAGACAUGGGGCAAAUCAAUCAGGAGAAAUAUAAACAAGUUAUAGCACAGUAGAUCCCAAAUAAAUGCAAUCAAUUCAGUGGAAGCUUUCCAAUACAGCAGAACCUUCCCCCAUAAUUUGGCGGGGCCGCAAGUUUGCCAUUAGCUUUUGUAUCCAUUGGAGGUGGGAACAAGCUUUGCUACCAUGGAAGCCAGAAGAGAAGGGGAACAACAGAUGAGACCAAAGACAAAAGGCCAUGUACUGCCCCACAACACUCAAUGGGACUCAUGAUAGGCUGGAUUUGCUUGUGGCCUGUUCAAGGUCCCAUGAUAUUAAUAUCUAAGUCGGCAACUUGGCUUCUUCCCUGUGAUGACAUGAAAUAUAAUCAAUCAAAAUGCUGAAAUCAUUGCCUUUUAAUGUGCUGCACAUGCAGAUGACACCUUUUCUUGACGUCAAAAGAAGGAUGAUCAAAUGCACAAAAUUGGAUAGGAAUCCUUUGUUGACUUAGCGUGAUUGUAUAGAGAUAAAUCAGUUUCAUUCUUUCCAGUAUCAUGUGUGGUAUGUGUGUAUGAAAAAUAUAAAUAUGAUGUAUUAUUUUUGAACUCUAA